UUUAGCAAACUCAGUAACAAACACUUUUAAUCCUAAAGACAUCAUUUGUUUUUCCCUUUGCGUCUGCUGGGCUAGAGGGAAGGGCCAUGCCUCCGUUGGGAAGAACUCAUCAUUGUGGGAUGUGGCUGGUCAGGGAAAAGCUGCUGAACCCUUACAGAACGAGCUUUGCUACCAGUCCCAGACCAAGCAAGUAGAACCCUUGUUUCCUCGACUAGGAAAUGCGUAAAACAGCGAAGUUUCACUGAGCUGUUUUGAGGAAUACAUUAGAUAAUACAGGAAGAACCUGGCUCAGUCCCCCGAAGAGUAAACGUGCAAGAGGAAACACGCAUGUGCAGAGAGCUUGUGCCAACCGUGGAACAUCUCAUGGAGGAGGCUCCCAGUGCAAGGACUUCUGUUCGGACUGAAAGAGUGUGCAAAGAAUAUAAGACCCAUAAAAGUACUGCUGCACUGAAUGAGUUGGAACAAGGUCACCGCCUACCUGGAGCUUCGAGUCCAUUCAGGAGAAAGAUGGAUAUAGAUGAAUGACCUUCAUGUUCUAAACUUCAGCUGGGACAGAAAUCACUGCCUGGAAACCAAAGUGCGGUUUGAAAGUUCUACUGGAAACAUGACUGAGACCCGUGUAAGAGGCCUUAAUGGGGGUGCCAACCAGAAAAGGAAGCCGAGUCCUCACCAGUGUGGCUCAGUGGGUUGGGCGUCAUCCCCACAGAGCACAAGUUCACCUGCAUUGCAGGUUCGGUUCCUAGUCAGGGUGUGCAUGAGAGGUCUCCAGUCAAUGCUUCUCUCUUUCUUUCUCUCUCCCUCCCUUCCCCCCUCUCUAAAAAUAAAUAAAUGCAAUCUUAAAAAAAAAAGAAAGAAAAAGAAAAAAAAGUUGAGAAACAUGGGGAUGGAGAAAAAAUCCAAACUUCUUGAUAUUCUGGUCUGGUAUCCUGUUGUGAAUUUCAGUUGUAUGCAUAUCUUAUUGAAGAAAUUAUCACUGUGGUAUAUUUAUGUUUUAAAUCUACCUCUUCAUUCUCCCUCUGUAUCCACUCAGUCAUCAGCUACUGGUGAAUUAUAAUGUCCAUGUGAACUCACUAGGGACAAUAACUUCAGUCGGAAUCACCCUUGAUUUAUAUUUAUAGAGUAUAAAAGGAAAAGAAAACAUGAAUCCCAAUCAGUAGCUUCCUCAUAAUCAGUAGCUUCCUUAAAAUCAGUAUUCCUCAUAAUAUUAUGAAAAUAUUAAAGUUAAAGUUAGUAAAAACAAACAAAAAGAAUAGUUAGUGGGUUCUUUCCACAGGGCACCCCCCAGUUACUGAGGGUGGCGAAUGCAGUUCAAUUCUGCUGUGAAUUCUGAGGCUGCAGCCUGCCCCGUCUGAGGCUGCAGCCUACAGUAGCAGCGUUUUGGGAGAUGAAAGGCCCAUGAUAAAGAGAAGGAUAAUGGAACCCAGAGAUGUUCCUUCUUCCUGCUCCAACUGUUCUCCAUUUUCAGCCAUGGGGAGUGUGACCAGAAGGGCAAUCUCAACUCUCUGAUCCUAAUCUACAUUUAUAAAAGUAAUAUGUUCCCUUUGUGAAAAGUAAAACAAAAUUUAAAAAAUCAUCAGACAGGCAAGCACUCGGUAUGUGUGCUCCCUUCAAGGCCAGGGCUGCAUUUGGUGUCAUUUCAGUGGAUCUGAAGCGUUCCUUUUGUUCAAGUGCUCCAACUUGGAAGCCAGAACACCUGGGGUCCACCUGAGGUUCCACCAUAUCCUGUCCGCAAGACCACACACAAAUUAUAGUUUAUUACAGUGUAGUGGCAUAAGUAUCAGUUUUGGGUGUACAACAUGGUGAUUCAAUAUUUAUAUUCCUUACAAUGGGAUCACAACAAUAAGUCAUUUGUUACUAUUACAUGCCAUUACAAAAAUACUGACAAUUUUCUUUAUGCUAUACACUAUAUCACCAUGGCUUUCUUUUUUUCUACCUGGAAGUUGGUUUGUGCCUCUUAUUCCCCUUCACCUUUAUCACCUACGUACCCGGGCAAUCAUCAGUUUGUUCUGU